AGUGAACGCUGGCGGUAGGCCUAACACAUGCAAGUCGAACGGCAGCACAGUAAGAGCUUGCUCUUACGGGUGGCGAGUGGCGGACGGGUGAGGAAUACAUCGGAAUCUACUUUUUCGUGGGGGAUAACGUAGGGAAACUUACGCUAAUACGCAUACGACCUACGGGUGAAAGCAGGGGAUCUUCGGACCUUGGGCGAUUGAAUGAGCCGAUGUCGGAUUAGCUAGUUGGCGGGGUAAAGGCCCACCAAGGCGACGAACCGUAGCUGGUCUGAGAGGAUGAUCAGCCACACUGGAACUGAGACACGGUCCAGACUCCUACGGGAGGCAGCAGUGGGGAAUAUUGGACAAUGGGCGCAAGCCUGAUCCAGCCAUACCGCGUGGGUGAAGAAGGCCUUCGGGUUGUAAAGCCCUUUUGUUGGGAAAGAAAAGCAGCAGGUUAAUACCCCGCUGUUCUGACGGUACCCAAAGAAUAAGCACCGGCUAACUUCGUG
rnacentral:rRNA from 1 species